AUGAGCCUAGACUGGGUCAGGCUAGACCCGGAUCCGGCCAGCUUUAAACAAACAAAAGGGUUGGAAAACCCUAAAUAUCAUCCAUACUCCUCCUUCUCUAAAAAAGAAAAAAAGAAGGUCACUCAUCUCUCUCAGUCUCGUAUCAUCAUCGUCUCUAUCUCUCUCGAUCCAUUAACAACAACAAUAUCAUUGGUUUCUCAUGGUUCACUCAGCGGCAACAAUACAACUCUCUGUUCAUCUUUUCUACCAACAACAGCAGUUCAAAUUCAGAAUAGGAGAACAACAACCAACAUCUCAGUUAAUGAAUAA